UGCCAGCCGCCGCGGUAAUACGUACUGUGCGAACGUUAUUCGGAAUCACUGGGCUUAAAGGGUGCGUAGGCGGCCAGAUAAGUAGGGUGUGAAAUCCCUCGGCUCAACCGAGGAAUUGCGCUCUAAACUGUUUGGCUCGAGUAAGAUAGGGGUGUGCGGAACUUCCAGUGGAGCGGUGAAAUGUGUUGAUAUUGGAAGGAACUCCGGUGGCGAAGGCGGCACACUGGGUCUUAACUGACGCUGAGGCACGAAAGCCAGGGGAGCGAACGGGAUUAGAUA
rnacentral:rRNA from 1 species